UGUUAUUCUUUCAUGGGGAGGACGCCGAUUCCUUAGCCGGGGGACGCUGGCGUCGAAAUCUCCCUCCAGCCCCAAACCUUUGAUAUGAUCUUUCAUUCAAAACUCUCCAUCUCCUGCAAGUAAUAGGCUGCAGCACCCUUUUCAAAACUUAUUGCUACAAGAUCUUAAUAUCAAACGGAACCAUUCCGGGCAACAAAUUGAGCAAAUACCAAACACCAUUCAUUCAUAAAACCCGAACAAUUGCAGAGACUCAAAUGAAUAAUACUUUUAAAAUCUCCAUGAAUGCGCCCUUUCAGAGAGAACUUGAUGCAUUUUAUCACGUCGUUUUUUUUUGGUGAGGGGGCAAUCUUGAGGGGUUAAAGAUGACAGGCAUGGUAAAAAUAAACCACCUUGACAAAACGAGAUGAAACUUACACAUCUCAUCCACGGUGGCUACAUUGAGGAAGCUAUAUUUUGGAAAGAAAUUUAGUCUAUAAAUAUCAGGGACUAUAAUCCUAUCGAUUUGGACAAGGCCACAUAGAACUCGGGUUAUGAGUUCAUGCCUCCGCUGCUGUCAUGGGGAGCUAUAAAAACUUAAAAGAGCGAAAUCAUUCCAGUUGCAACAAUCCAAAUCACCGGCAUUAUAUUUCAACACAAGGCGGCUGCGAGUUCUACGUUUUAAUUUAAAGGCAUCUCGUUUACAAUCGAUUAAACCUCUCUCCGUUUCCAGCCAACAAAGGCAAUGAUGAGUGGAAAAGUUCAAUUCUUCGACAGGGCACUCUCUCACUCACCUAGUCUGGAGAACAGGCUGCACAAACACCACGCCAGGAGCAGAAUACUGCAGGAAACGCCGACCUGGAGGUUGCUGAGAUGUCAGAAUAUCUCACUGUUGGUCUCACUCUCCUUCAGGCGAAGACUCCAAUGGAUACAAGACAAGAAUCAAUAUGUCAGAAUGGUCACCUCCCAAUCCUUAGCUUGUGGAGGACCUGUGUUAUUUUCAUGGACCGAUUACUGAUUUGGAUAUCCAGGAGGAUGGACAGUACUUACAGAAAUCCUGCAGUCCCUUUGAGGAAAGGGAAAGCUGAAGAACCCAUUAACAAUCAACUUUUAUAAUUAAA